rnacentral:rRNA from 3 species
UGCAAGUCGAACGAUGAACCACUUCGGUGGGGAUUAGUGGCGAACGGGUGAGUAACACGUGGGCAAUCUGCCCUGCACUCUGGGACAAGCCCUGGAAACGGGGUCUAAUACCGGAUACUGAUCUACUUGGGCAUCCAAGUGGUUCGAAAGCUCCGGCGGUGCAGGAUGAGCCCGCGGCCUAUCAGCUUGUUGGUGAGGUAACGGCUCACCAAGGCGACGACGGGUAGCCGGCCUGAGAGGGCGACCGGCCACACUGGGACUGAGACACGGCCCAGACUCCUACGGGAGGCAGCAGUGGGGAAUAUUGCACAAUGGGCGAAAGCCUGAUGCAGCGACGCCGCGUGAGGGAUGACGGCCUUCGGGUUGUAAACCUCUUUCAGCAGGGAAGAAGCGAAAGUGACGGUACCUGCAGAAGAAGCGCCGGCUAACUACGUGCCAGCAGCCGG